AUAACUACAGCCGAACAGACCUCCUUGCCGACCAUUUCAUCAGAUCGGGAUGGAUUUCUUGGGACCCUUUCCGACGUCAACGUCCGGCAAUAAGUGGAUC
rnacentral:lncRNA from 1 species